AAGUUCACCAACUGAGCACUACUUACCUGAUAAACCAUUUUCCACACGUCUUUGAUGUUCUCGCUGCCUCUACCAAACUGCGAUUCCUAUGACAGUUUUUUCCUUCACCUGCUGCCGCUGUAGCAGGUUUCUAUGAAAUCCUUCUUUGUAAGAAUUUUCACUUCAAAGAAAUUCUAUUCUCUUCCUUUUAACACCUUUCCUUGGCAUUGUAGGCAGUAAGAUGAGGAGAGGACCAAACCAAAAGAAAAAAAGCGGGGUGGG